rnacentral:rRNA from 1 species
UACGUAGGGUGCGAGCGUUAAUCGGAAUUACUGGGCGUAAAGCGUGCGCAGGCGGUUUUGUAAGCCAGAUGUGAAAGCCCCGGGCUUAACCUGGGAAUGGCAUUUGGGACUGCAAGGCUUGAGUGCGGCAGAGGAGACUGGAAUUCCUGGUGUAGCAGUGAAAUGCGUAGAUAUCAGGAGGAAUACCGAUGGCGAAGGCAGGUCUCUGGGCUGACACUGACGCUCAUGCACGAAAGUGUGGGGAUCAAACAGG